UGUGAUCAAAGACAUGACAACUAAACUGAGGCAUAUAAGCACAUCAAAAAUGGAUGAUUUGCUCCAAGUACCAGGUGCUACGUUUCUCUCCACAAGGAAAAAUCAGACUCAAACUCUCACGAGAGGAGCCCCAUAAUCAUCCGCCAUUAACAGACAAUCAAGCUUAGACGGAAGUAUAUAUCCCCACCUCCAACAAACGUCUUCUUGGAUUCUCUAAUAAUCAUUUCUUGGGUGCCUCCUCCCUGUGGUACGGUGAAAGUCAAUUUUGAUGCUUCUUGAAAAAAUGGUGUUGCAGGAGCUGGAUUUAUCAUUAGAGAUCAUAAUAGGCAGGUGCUUCAUUUUGGAGCGCAAUGUGUUAUAGCUAAUUCUAUCACGAAAGCUGAGCUUCAUACAGUAGAGAGGAUACUUUAAUAGCUACCAUACAACUUGGAUUGAAUUUUGGUUUCUAUUUUAGUUUGUUGUUUUGGAGUUAUGUAACCCCAUUGUACCCAAAAGGGGAAAAAAAACAUCUUCUUGGAUUACUAUUGAUGCUAUAAAAUCGGCCAUCCGAUUACCUUCUAUAUAAAA